CGGCCUCGGGGUGCACGCCCCUCUCCAGAGGCGGGCGGGCGGGCGGGAGAGGCUUCCGAGCCAGCUGUGUGACAUCCGUUUCCACGGCCGCACUGACGUCUGGAGGUGUAAGUUCAAGAGCUGCCAUUGGCCAGGCGCGGCUUGAGCUCUUCCCCCUUCACUUCCCACCCCACCUUCGGCCCCGGGACUCCGCAACGGAGGCCCGUUGGGAACCCAAGAGCCAGUUUUCCCGGAAAGGCGGCGGUGGAGAGCCCGGAGGGAGUGACACAUGCGCCGCCCUUGGGUGAUGGGUGGCAGUCCAGUGAGGACCCGUUAGUUGUGCGACACCACUGAUGGUCCUCAUUUUGUCUGGGUACCUGUUGCACGCUGCUGCUGCUGCUGCUGCUGCCUUUGCACACAGUUGCAAGGUGAGAGCACGUAUCAGAUUACCCAUGUAUGCUGCAAGGUAGUUUCUCAACACAAGGAGUCAUCCAACAUUCCAGGCUUCAGGAUCAGUGUUACUGUUGGCACCUUGGAAAUCCCAGUUUGUCCACGAUAUGGAGGCCCGUGCGGUGCCCACACGUCAGGCUUUGGUGACCAAGGUGGGAAAGUAAGCUUGCAGCUGACCCUUUAGAAAUCUUAAUUACACUGAUCCUGGCAGAUACGGUAGUAACAGGUUCCCUGGUAUGGAGCGGUUAGCUUUCACAGGGAGAAGGUAGGGAUGGCUGUCUUAGUCUCUUCUGCUGCAAAAAACAAUACUAUAGACUGGUUAAAUUAUAAACAGUAGUUUAUCUGCCUCUUGGUUCUGGGGGGGCUUUGGAAAGGGGAGUAACAUCGCGCAGUGUCAGCUAAGUGGCAGGGCAGGAGACAAUCCGUCGUUGUUUUUAUGAGGAACCCAUUCUUGUGGUGGCAAUCCAGUCCUGAGGACUCCAAUGUCCUCAUCAACUCUUAAAGGAUCCGACUCUUAGUAAUGUUGCAGCCACACUGUUUGCAGGGGCAGAUUUCAGCGUGAGUCUUGGAGGGGACUUUCAAACCAUAGUAACGGUUCUAAAGCGGGAGAAUGGAAAUGAAGAGGAAAAGGAAGAAUGUCUUCGUUGUGACUGGAGGAAGGAGGAAAGGAAACCAAGUUUGGAAAGAAAUAGGGUAAAUCCUGUUUCUGGAAGUUCCUAGUUUCCAUUAAAUGAAGGCCCACUGCCUGCUGAAGAAGAGUGGUGGGUGUCUUUGAAAGCUACCAAGAAGAAGGCUGGGGAUGUGGCUCCACCCUGACAUACCAUCAGAUUUUUGCUAACAAUGGUCUCUUUUUUCAGAAACCACCCUUUUAAAUCUACAUAUUCAGAAAUCCCACUUCCAGGGCUUGAUAAUAAUGAAAUGGAAUUCAAGAAACAAAGAUUUGUCCGAGAGACUCACAUACCUGUUGCAAUAGAUUGUGCUGCCUGAACUCCUUUUUCCUCUAGAUAUUACCCAUGUGGCCAUAGUGGGUAUCAGGGGAGGGAGUCUUCCAGGGCUCCAGACCUUCACUAGUGACAGGCAGAGUUAAGGCCUUAUAGAUCCUUUGCUGUCUCCACUUGGCUAUUCCUUGAGCAAAAAAAAAAAGGCUGUUCUUCAACUGUUGGAAAGUAUGGCCCCGUCAGAUUCAUGUGAGUCAAACACAGACCUACCCUUUGACACAUCAAUCCCACAUCUUGUAUUCGCCAAGAGAAAUAAAACCCUUUAUCUACAAAGAGACUUGUACAAAAAUGCUCAUUGCAAUUGUACUUAGGAUAGCAAAAUCCUCAAGAAGCCCAGAUGUCUAUCAGUGGGAGAAUGAGUAAGUUGGAAUAUUCACCCAGUGCAACACUACUCAUGAAUUAAAAAUAAAAUAGAAUAUGAAUGAAUCUCACAAAUGUGUGUUGAAUCAGACCGUGGAGUUAGAACCCAAGAGUGUCUUCCUGAUUUUAGCUAGUCUUUUAUAGAGAGCCUGGCACCGUGCGGGCCCAUCAGAGCUACAUAUGUACUCUUAACUUCAGAUUCCUAUUUUUAAAAAUGAGUUGAACAGAUGAGUCUGAGACUUUUGAAGUUUCUGAAAUUUACAGUAGCUACUUUAUUACAAUUCCCGAGCCAGUCAGCAAUGAACAUACUGUCUUUGGUCUCCUGGCUGCACUCUGCCUUCAUGAGAAGUGACAUCUAUGUUGGACAGUUAAGAAAUCUCUCUGCUCUCACCCCCUCCCUUCACCCACUUAGAUCUUGAAAGGAAAAAAAAUUCCUCAGUUUAGCAUUGCCACUUAACUCUUCACGAUAGUACAGCUCUCAGUCUAGGGGUUCACACCUGUAAUCCCAGCACUGAGGAGGGUGAGGCAGGAAAAUUGUCACAGUUCAAGGCUUGCCUGGGCUACUGACAUUUACAGGGGGAAGGGUAAAUGCUGUUAUUGUCAUUGUGGUUUGAAUGAUAAAUGCCUCCCGUAGUCUCAGACAUUUAAAUACUUGGACCCCAGCUGGUGCUGUUGGGGUUAGGUUUAGGGGGUGGAGCUUGAUGGAAAGGUAGGGAGCAGGCUUUGAGGUUUCAGAACUUCACAACACUCCCAGUUCACACUCUGCUUCCAGCCUGUCCUUCAGAACGUAAGCCCUUCCCUUAGGACUCUAAUCCUGAGACUGUAAACCCAAACACAUUUUCUAUGAGAUGCAUUGGUCAUGGCGUUUUUAUCAAAGCAAUGGAGAAGUAACUAACAUAGUCACCGAAACUGUAGGAACUCAGUACCCUAAAGAGUAACACAAGAAACAAAACCAUGAGCAAGAGUUAAUACAUUGCGAUUAGAGACCGUUUUGGGCAGUUAAAUAUUAAAGAAAAACUAAUAAACCCCAUAAGCCUGUGUAGACAGAGACUAGACUGGUCCUUUCAGCUAACCCUUGGUAGUCCUGCCAACAUCUGGCCUGGCAUUGUCAGCUAAGUUACAUGGUCUCUUGAGCAUAAACAAUCACCAAACAUCAAUGUCACGUAGACCACUGUGGCCAUAGUAGAGAAAGUGAGAAAAAAAAACUCUCCACAAUCAUGUCUGAAUACAUCAAACACACCAGCAUCCUCCAUACUUACAGUGGGCAGGAGGCUUGACUAAAGACACCUUUGUAUUCUGUGUUGUAAGGGCAUAUUUGUACCUGAUACUGUAGAAAGGAGUUUGCACAUACAUGCGUUUAAUAGCUUUUUAGGCACUGCAAAUGGCUUGUUCUGAGUUAAUCCCUGCCCCCAGCCCAGAGACUUAUAGAGGAGUAAAAGGGUGAUAUCUAAAACACUUAAGAUUGAGCAUUUCAAAAGUGCCUGGAGCCAGAUGUCCAUAAAAUGAGAGACACAGACAUCACAAAGUUCAUAGAUCUGGGUGACAAGGGAAAAAACAAGAUUUCUAGAUGAAGACUAUGUACCCAUCCUUCAGCAGCUCCCUGUGUAAUCGGCUGGCUGGAGAGGAGAUACAGCAGUUAUUUCUUUUAAGGUAGUGGUCUGCUGCCCUGUCAGAGCACUGGAUCUCAACAGAGCCAGCUUAAAUGUUUAAUUCCUAACUGCUCAUUGGCCUUUAUGGUGACAGGCAUAACAAACUCUAGUAUUUGGGUUUCCUAAACCACAAAGCUGAACAUGUAGCUAUUGUAAGUGACUCCUGUUUUCUGACCACUUAAAAUGACAGCUUUGCUCUAUUCUUCUUGUCUUCUGGAUAAUACAUGUCAAAAUAUCUAUUCCUAGAAGCUCUUCUGCUCUCCAACAUCCUCUACCGCCCUCAGAAUAACCCCCAAAGCCAGAUUCCGUAGUCUUUCCAAUGCUCUCUUAGUAAGAGUUGCUGCAAUAUCUCAUGUUCUGGUUGCCUGUUUGCAACAAGACAUUAAUCUCAACUGUGUUUGACUAGGUAUGUCUUUAGCUGGGGGUAAUAGCACUUACAUCACCGUAUAUCUAAAAUCACUCCCUCUACUGUACUUAUUACCCUGCCUUUUUUUUCUUUCUUUCUUUCUUUUUGACUCAUUGUCACAUGUCUGUCUGGAAGUUUGGCAGUUUGUUUUCUAAGUUUGGUGUUUGUUUGUUUGUUCUUGGCCAAUUCUGUCCCACUAGAAUGCAGGAGGGAAAAAAUGAGUUGGUUUUUUUUGUUGUUGUUGUUUUGCUUUGUUUUUUUCAAUUCUCAGAAGGUAAUUUGGCAACUAUGUAGAAGAAGAGAAUGAGAACAGGUAAUUAGUAGGAAGACCAGCAAAGAUUAUUCAAGGGAUCAGAAGAAAAGCUUUGAAUGAAGGAAGGCAUCCUUGGGACAAUGAAGUAAGAUAGGGUUGAGCAACAUUUCUGAUGUGGAUUUUCAGGUAUUUCUGAAUUAUUUAUUAAUUGAGUGGAAGGAAGAGAAUGAUGGAUAGGAAGGAAAUGAACACCAAAAUUACAACUUCCAUGUUCCUGACUUUCUUUCAGUGAAGCUCAAUGUACUGAAAUUUUUUGCGAAUGUGAGCAAUAUCCCCAACCUAGGGAUACAACAGUAGGAUGUGCACUGAAGUAAACUUCAAAGGAAACCACUUUGAAAUAAAAGCCUUAAAUUGGGCGUGGUGACCUGCACCUGUAAUAGCAAGACUGUGUUAAAAGACAAACAAUAACAAAUAGGCUUUUCUCUCUUGUCUAAAAUAUACUGACUUUUAAGUUCACAUUUGCCUGUAAAACUUACCCAUGCAUAAAAAGGCUUUUUAGUGCAUGCAGUUGGGUAAUGAUUGUGAUGCACUGCUCAAACAUCAUAUCAAUGAUACAAGAGCAUAUUUGUAUAAUGACACAUUUUCAUGUGUCAUUAAUCCUACCGAUUGUGGUUGAGGGGAUGGAGGGCUUGGAGGGCCCUUGUAGAAGGCAAAAGAAAAUAGCUUUGGCAUCUGGAACUCAUGGAACACACAAGGUAUCCAGAAAUGUUAGAACAAAUAGAUUUUAAAAGAAUUCACUUUAGGAAGACAACCUUGUUGUUGGUUGUUUUUCUUCUUUUUUUUUGGGGGGGGGCAGGGGGGCUGCCACUCAGUUCCCAAAUAAAUCACACAUGGAGACUUAUUCUUAAUUAUAAAUGCCCGGCCUUACCUUGGCUUGUUUCUAGCCAGCUUUUCUUAACUUUAAAUUAUCCCAUCUACCUUUUGUCUCUGGGCUUUUUAUCUUUCUCUAUUCCUGUAUACCUUUCUUUACUUCUUACUCGUGACUGGCUGUGUGGCUGUGUGACUGGCCCUAAUGUCCACCUCUCCUUGUUGUCUUGCUUUUUCUUCUUUUUCCCAGAUUUCUCCUUCUAUUUAUUCUCUCUGCCUGCCAGUCCUGACUAUUUCUCUCUCCUGCCUCGCUAUUGGCUGUUCAGCGCUCCAUUAGACCAUCAGGUGUUUUAGACAGGCACAGUAACACAGCUUCACAGAGUUAAACAAGUGCAACAUAAAAAAUAAUGCAACAAAUCGUUGCAUCAUUAAACAGAUGUGCCACGGCAUAAACAAAUGUAACACAUCUUAAAAUAAUAUUCUACAACACAACCUAUUCUUGAAUUUAUUUCAGACACUAACUGCCACCCAGACUGUUCUUCCUUCGCCUCUCUCUGGUCUCAGCCCAGAUAUCCCUUUCACAGGACCACCUCUUAGUUUCUCUGCUGAACUGCUCUGUAGAACUCCUUCACGCCAUCACCUGCAGUUGUGGUUUCUGUUUUAGUUAAUGAAUUAAACCCUACUUUGUUUACUUCAGAAUAAUCAGUGCCUAUGAUUGUUAAUCAGCUGGAUUUUAAAGGUUGCAUGUCUCCCGUGAGUCUGAUCUAACUAGGUGAACCACAUAAAAGCAGGUCCAGAAGUGAAUCAUGGUGAAGUUAGGGAGGUUCAGCACAAGCUGCAGAGGCUUUCCUGUUGGCCUUGAGAGGGUUGUGUGGCAAGAAACGGCAGGUGACCUCUGGAGACAGAUGAGCCUCUAGCUGACUGACCCCUGGAGCUCAGCCUGAUAAAAAGCUGAACAGAGAACACAGCUGAACCCAGGGCAGGACUCCUGACUUGCAGAUCUACAAGCAGUACCCAGGUAUUGCUUAAAUCCCUUUAUCUCUAGGACUUGUUUUUUGCAGUAACAGAAAACAUGUCCAAAUAGUCCUGUGGAAUCCAAAACAUAGUUUUAAUAGGAGAAAGCAAAUAAUUAUCCUUUGUAUAAAAGAAAACAACUAAGUAGUACUUAAUAUAAAUGAUUUCUUGUUCUCCAAAUUUUACAUAUGUUAUUGGGAUAAUUAAGGCAAAUGUGGAGGUUUAUUGUACUUUAUUUGAUAAAGAUCCAUAUUUAUCAUUUUUUUAAUGAAAUAAAUACAACACAAAGAUCUACUACUUCUAUUCCCUCAAGUCAGUGUCCAGCUAAGUCUUAUCAUUUUAUUUUCUCAUUUUCAACUGGUGCAAAUUAAUCUAUCUAGGUUUCCCUAACCAAUUUCAUUCGUUUUCUCCCAGAAUUUAAUAACAUUUGGGUUUCUCAUUACACAGCUUUUAAAUUGCUAACAGUAACCCAAGGCCAGAUAAUUAAAACUGUUUCAGUGACUCAAAAAUAGCAAGCUAUGCAUGAGUUGGGGAGAAUUGCUCUCCUUCCCCUCCCCACUCACCCAUCCACCAACACCUAAGGCAGAUAGGAGAGCUGGCCCUGAAGUCACAAGAGCAGGAGAGCCAUCCCUGCCCUUCACCAGCUGCGACACUUGGGAGAGCAGGCCCUGCACCUCACCUGGGCAACACAGUAGAGCCAACCCUAUUGGCAGAGGUAUAAGUGAGCCAGCCCCAAUGUUGUAAGCAUAGGAGCUGUCCCCACUACUCGUCUGUCAUGAAGUAGUGUGGGAGGAAGAGAGAUGCCCCCCUUACCCCUCGCCCCUUACAGCCUGCAACAGAGGAGGGAGCAAACCCUCUCCCUUACCAACUGCAGCACUCAGGAAAGCAGGCCCUUUUCCUCGCCUAGGCAGCACAACAGAGCUGGUCGGAGGUGAGGGUGACCCAGCCCCAGUGUUGUGAGCAAGGGAGAGCUGUCCCCAUCACUGACAUGUGGUGGCAUGGGCAAGGGAGAGGUGGCCUCACCCCCACCCACACCCCUGCCCAUCAAUUCCUGAAACAGGUGGAGGAGCUGGCCCUGGGAUCAUAAGAGCAGGAAGACUCCCCCCCCCCCACCAGCUGCAGCACUUGGAAGAGUGACCCCUCUACCUUGCCUGGGCAACACAACAGAGCUAGCUUUGGUGGUGUAGGGUAUGGGAGAGCUGCCCCUGAGGGUGUGAAAGCAGGAGAACUGUCCCCACCCUUUUCUCAUUGCUUCAAGAGGUGAAUUAGCCCCAGCAAUGCUGGAGAGCUCAGCCUGGUGAUGAGGACAGGGGAGAACUGGCAGGCUGACCAACCCUACAGCUCCCCAUGCUCAGAACCAGUUAUGGCUUGGCCUGCACCAACAUCUACCUCAUCUGUGAUCUACUGGAGCACAUGAAGGGACCUGACCUGCAGACCCAAAGCUGCAGGAUCUCCACAACACAGGGCAACAACAGGAUAUCCGAACAGAGUUCCGGUGAGGGCCCAUCAUCAAUAAUGUAGUAGAAACCAGAGACCUCAGACCAGACCAAUGACUCUUUGCAAUGAACACUUGCAAGUAAAGAUAUAUGGACAAAGGAGUUUAACUGUGUGACUCACUGUGUCAUACUACAGCUUCUUCCACAAUGAGAUUUUUAAUUUUUUCCCCUUUUUACUCUUAAAUUUUGUUUUAUUUUGAGGGGUGUAGGGGUGGAGGGUAGAUGUGAAGGGAUGGGGAAAUGAAUGGGAUCAAGAUACAUGAUAUAAGACACAGAAUAAAUAAAGUAAAAACAUGCUUUAAUAGAAAAAAAAGCACUUUCCCAAUACCACAUGCUGACAAUUUGUGGUAUUAUUCUAAUAGUCAACCAAAAAUUUAUGUUCCAAACAUGCUUGCUCUGCCUUGAAUGUGAUGAGUAGAUUGCCCCUUCUUAACUCAUUUCAAAUACCUAGAGAUAAAACAGUCAGAACCAGGAUGCACAUACUGAAGGAACUUCAGUGCAAUCCCUUCUGUGACAGGUGCAAGCAGGGGACAAGGGAAGGGUGUCAGGACUCCCAUUCAUCACAGACCACCAACUACAGCCUUCACCUCUCCUCUGGUCCUCUCUGAUCCUGCUGGCUUUAUAGUCCCUGGAGUACAGAACUUUUUCCUUGUGUUUAAAUGGUGGGACAUUGGUCUUUGUCAACACAUAGGGAAUGGGUAAUUUUUUGUGGUUAUAAUAAAGGCUAGUUGGCUUUCCUCUCUAAAAAUAAAAACAAUAAUCACACUUAAGUUUGAAAAACAAAAAGGAAGAAAUGACUUGGUAAUAUGUUCUCUAUGACCUCGUAAAUUGCACUAGCUCCCCUGACCUUUAGGAAGAUGCUUAGCGUGGGCACAUCAGCAAGGCUGUCUUGUGUGACCUUGAGUUUUUAGUCUGCUCUACUUGCUUUUUUAAUACAUCAUAUUGGUUAUUGUUACUAUGUUAAAUGUAGUUUCAUGUGUGCUGCCCAGCCAGACCAACAGUAUGGAACAAUGCAACUGGGUCAUCCCUAUUUGGAAUCCACGCUUACUCUCUGUUAAGAUGAGGGUACAAAUUUUUUCUUAGUUUUAUUUACUCUUUGAAACUAGCUUGAUCUUGUCGAGGUCUUCUGUAGGUAACCACAGCUGCCUUGAGUUCAUGCCUGCAACAGCCCUGUCAAGUCCAGAGGACAGCACCUCACAGCCUUCUUCCCCAUCUUUCUGCUCUUACACUUGAUCCCCCUGCCCGCCCUGCCCCCCCCCCCGACGUUCCCUGAGUCCUGGAAGGUGAGUUCUUCUCCUCCUUCUGAGGGUGCAAAUUUUUAAAUGUGGUCUGUAACACAACUAGUAAAGUAGAUGAGGGAAUAAUUCCCUAAAUUUGGUUGUUCAGUAAACUUAAGAGUUACCUCUCCUGUUACAACUGAACACUGCGGGUGAGUAAAGUCAGUUGCAGGGUUUUCUUUGAAGGGAAUUACUGAAAGAACUGUUGUCUUGGGUAGCACAGUGUCCUAUGUAGCUUCCUUUCAUGGCUGCUUCAUAUCUUCAUUUCAGCCUUGCUGCAUGUGUGACACAGAAAAAGUGACUCCCCUGACAUAAGUAUAUUUUAUCUCUAUUUUCUUCAAUGUAUGUAAAAAUUGACAGCCCAGGGCCAGUAACAUGGCUCAGUGCCAGAGGGGCUGAGUUUGAUCCCCAGAACCAAUGUAAAGGUGGAAAGAGAGAACCAACCCUAAAAGUUGUCUAACCUCCACUUGCCAAGCAUGGCACGCCUGGAGCCAUUCUCACACAUGUUAUACACACAGUAAUAAUAAACAAUUAAAAAGGCAUGUUAAAAAUCAACAGCCCACAGCAUUACUGAGUUAGAUUUCUUUCAAUAAUUUACAUCUUUCUUGCACUUUAAAUGAGAUGUGAUCUCUGUUGAGUUAGUAAUAUGUAACACAAACACAGACCAUGGUAGGUAUUGUUUUCACAGGCUGUCAAUACAGAAGAACACUUUCCAAACUGAGUUUCUUCAUUUUCCAUAUCAACCAUGGAUGGAUAAAUAAUAUCCUCGCAUCACCAACAUUGAACAUUAUUAUACAUUUUUUAAAUAAAAGAAUAGAACUUACUUUGAAAGUGUAAGGGUACUAAAUGAUCAAAAUCUUCACUGAUGAAAUUUUAUGGAGCACAGUCAUUAGACGGUGAAAAUUCAUUAUUACUAAAGGAACUUUAAUUCUGGAACAUACCCUAAAACCAACUUUCAAUUGCAUUGCUUAUUCCGUACUGUUUCAUCUACUUCAUUAUCAACCAGCCUCCUCUCACCCCUGAAAUAACCUCAUUUCUAGCUGUCUUUCUAUUCCUUUCUACCUCCUAAUGAUAUUAAGAUAUGCUUCAUAGUAUCUUCUUAUGGAUUUAGUUCUGGGAAAUAGUCUGUGAAGAAUAUUAAUCCUUUUCAGGCACAUUAGAGAGAGUAUUUGCUAAGAUCAAGUUGGAGGAUAAUUGCUCUGAGAAACGUUGAAGAGAGGACUAAUGGGGGGAAUAAUAGUAUCUGGAAUAAAACGUGAACAUGGAAGGCAUUUUCUGGAAAAACAACUUAUACAAAUACAUAUAUAUGAGAGACAGGGUGAAAGGCAGAAAUGUAAAGCUCCUCACAUCUGCCACAAUAAUUUUAAGAAAACCCAAAUGAUUCAUAACUGUAGCUUGUAUUUUCCUUUGAGGUAAAAUUGAGUCGAAACAAAGAAGUACAGAUUUGCAGUGUUAGGGAAAGUCUGGUGAUUUCUGAGGAGAAUAAGGCAGCAGCUCAACCAUAGAAGAAUACGCUUGAAACCAGGGAACCUAAAGGAAAGACAAAUUCAUGUUCUAUUUGGCAAGAUUCUUUCUACUUGGCAAGAUUCUUUCUAAAAUCUCACUCAGCUUUGAAAGAUCCCUGCCUGUCCCAGGAACAUUUAACUCUAUGUCAUUAUCCAUUAGAGUAAUGUAAAUUGAGCCCAUAAUGAGAUUCCAGCAAAACCUAUUACAAUAACUAUAGUUAUUGACAUAGCAAGGUUAUGGGAGAAUUAACUUUACCAAUGAUGGAAAUACAAAAUGGUACAAUUGCCUUGGGAAACCGUUGCUAAUUUCUUAAGAAAUCUGCCAGGUGUGGUGGUUUACCCCUGUAAUCUGAGCACUUCAAAGCUUUAAGGCUCCAGGAGGAUGAAGGCCAAUCUGAGUUACAGAGGGAAAUUCUGUCUCAAAAAGUCAUGUAAUUUAAUUUAGUUUAAUAAAUAGUACCGUUUGUUCUCUUAAUCUCUAUCUUGUUUACACAAGAGAAAAGAAAUAGAUGUUCACACUGUCGGGCCCAGAUCGAGGGGACCCCCCCAAAAGACCACCACGGAGACCGAAUCCCAUAUGUAAAAGCAAAGAGCUUUUAUUUCAAGCUCUGAGCUUGGUCUCUUUGUCCGACACAGCAAUGUGAGCAGAGAGCCCCAGGCCCAGGCAAGUAGUAGUGUUUUUUAUCAUAGCAGAGGUUGGGGUGAGGGAAUUUCUAGGGUUCAGAACCCUGAUUGGCUGACAUUUGUCUAGAGGUAUCUGUAAAAGGAAAAUGGGUGUAUGCUAGGCUCAGGGACAUCUGAUGAUCUUAUCUAAUCUUAUCUAAUGGUUGGAAUGUUUGGGAUGUCAGGUACUUCCCCUUAGAUGCUGGCCCAUCCCUGGGUGGUGUUAGCUUAUGGCUUUUCCUAGAUCCAGGUGUUACCUGUCAGUAAGCUUGUCAUGGCAGUUGUGUGGUCAAGGUGUUUCCCCACCCCCCCCCACACACACACACAAGCUUUUAUGUGUACAUUUGCAGUAACUGUUAAGCUACCUGACACUGGAAGUGAACACCGAGGCAUCCACGUAGUGGGUCCAUCUCCAUUAAGAAGCAGUAAUAUGCUCUGUGUUCCCACAUGUAUUGGUUUCUUGCUUACUGCAUGAUUUGGUUUAUAUUCUUUUCCUAAAAAGGCAAAUUUGGAGAGACAGAACAGCAGAGGUUGCCAGAAUCUGUAGGGAGGCAAAGAGGGGACAUAGUCAAUGAUGCAGGGUGGCACGUUUUCAGAGAAUUAGAGAAUAUUUUUCAUCUUGAGUUGUGCAUUAGUUACUUUUCUUUCACUGUGAAGAGACACCAUGACUGAGGCAAAUUAUAGAAUAAUUUAUUGGGAGCUUUCAGUUUCAGUAAAUCUAUGACCCUUGUGAAGGGGCCCCAAAAAUAGCUUGAUCACACAGCAGCCACGACAGGCUUAGGGGCCUACACACAGCUUCUGUGACAGGCUUACUGGCAGGCAACACCCAGAUCCAGGAAAAGCCUUAAGCUGAUACCACCCAGGGGUCCACCCAGGUGUGAGGAAGUAACUGACAUCCCAAACAUUCUAACCAUUAGAUAAAGUGGCCAGAUGUCCUUGAGUCUAGCACACACUUAUUUUCUGUUUUAUAGACACCCCUAGACAAAUGUCAGCCAAUCAGGGUCCUGGACCCUGGAAAUCCCCUCACCCCAACCUCUGCUAUGAUAAAAAAAACUCUGCCCCUGAGCUCAGGGCUCUUACCGCUGUGUUGGACAGACAGAGGGACCAAGCUCUAGAGCUUGAAACAAAGGCUCUUUGCUUUUACAUAUGGGAUUAGGUCUCCGUGGUGGUCUUUUGGGGGUCCCCGUGAUCUGGGCAUAAUAGCCAUCGUGAUGGGAAGAGAACAUGGUAGCAGACAGGCAGGCAUGGUGCUAGUGCAGUGGCUGAGCGCUUACAUCUUGAGACAACAACAAGGUAGAGAGAGCCACCUGGGAAUGGUGUGCGCUUUUGAAACCUCAAAUUUUGCCCCUCCUAAUCCUUCCCAAAUAGUUCCACUGGGGACCAAGUAUUGAAAUACAUGAGCCUUUGGAGGCCAUUUUCACUGAAAAGUCUGUGCCAGGUCCAGUGUCUCUCUUUCUCUCUCCCUCUUUCCCCCUCUUCCUCUCCCCCCCCCCCCUCUGUAAUUUGUGGAUCAUGUGAGGUAUCAUCUACUGCUCUAGUACCAUAUCCGCCACCACACUCCCUGCCAUGAUGAUCAUGGACUAAACCUCUGAAAAUGUAAGCAAGCCCCAGUUAAAUGCUUUCUUUUAAAACUUGCCUUCAUUAUGGUGUUUCCUCAGAGGAAUAGAACAGUAACAAAGACAGAAGUUGGUACUUAUGAGUGGAGUUGUGGAGGGACCCCAAAACAGCUUGACCACACAGCUGCCAUGACAGGCUUAGAGGCCCAGACACAGCUUCUGGCAGGCAACACCUGAAUCCCGGAAAAGCCAUAAGCUGACCCCACCCAGUGGGGCCUGCAUCCUAGGGGAAAUACCUGACAUUCCAAACAUUCCCUAUACCCUAGACAAAUGUCAGCCAAUCAGGGUCUUGAACCCUGGAAAUCCUCUCACCCCAACCUCUGCUAUGAUAAACCCCCCCCCCCCUACCUGAGCUCAGGGCUCUCUGCUCUCACUGCUGCAUAGGACAGACAGAGAGACCAAGCCCUGGAGCUUGAAGGUAAUAAAUGCUCUUUGCUUUUACAUAUGGGAUUCGGUCUCUGUGGUGGUCUUUUGGGGAUCCCUGCGAUCUGGGCAUAACAGAGUAUUCCUGUAGCAAGACUGACCAUGCUGUUAGCUGGAGAAAUGUGGAAGACUUUGGGGCUCUGGAAAGCCUGGAAAGCGGUUGAACACUUGAAGCGGGUCUCAGUGGGCCAUCCUAGUUGUAAGUGAAGGUACCCUGAGACCACUGAACUAGACUCCUCCAUGAAUAGAGAGAAAGUUUAUUGGGGUUCAGACUGCCAAGGCUGCCUCAGGGUGGGAGGGACAAAUGGUGGGAAAACGAGCAGAUUUUACAUAAGUCAAUGAGGUGUCCAGAUCGCAGGGCCCCCCAAAAGACCACCACGGAGACCGAAUCCCAUAUGUAAAAGUAAAGAGCCUUUAUUUCAAGCUCCAGAGCUUGGUCCCUCUGUCUGUCUGAUGCAGCAGUGAGAGCAGAGAGCCCUGAGCUCAGGUGGGGCAGAGUUUUUAUCAUAGCAGUGGUUGGGGGUGAGGGGAUUUCCACAGUCCAGGACCCUGAUUGGCUGACAAUUGUCUAGGGGUAUCUGUAAAACAAAAAAUAGGUGUGUGCUAGACUCAAGGACAUCUGGCCACUUUAUCUAAAGGUUAGAAUGUUUGGGAUGUCAGGUACUUCCUCACACCUGGGUGGAUCCCUGGGUGGUAUCAGCUUGAGGCUUUCCCUGGAUCUGUGUGUUGCCUGCCAGUAAGCCUGUCACAGAAGCUGUGUCUAGGCCCCUAAGCCUGUCGUGGCUGCUGUGUGGUCAAGCUAUUUUGGGGCCCUUUCACAGUCAACAGGGUUGGAUCUUUGAGCUGAUGCUGGCUGUUCAAAUUGAUGGGUUCUAGGUGCCCUUGCUCUAGAUGGUUUACCUUUGGGGAGCUGCUUGGAACCUAACAUUGGUAGGUGCUUAGAAGACAAUAAUGGUGAGAGCCAUGUGGACUGUGUCAGCCUAGCUUAAAAGGUUUCAGAAGGGAAGAACUUCAGCGAGUGGCCUAAAGACCAUUCUUAGGAUAUUGUGGCAAAGAACGUAGCUGCAUUUUGCCCUUGCUCUAAAAGUCUGCCUGAGGCUAAAUUGAAGAGUCCUGAGCUAAUGUCACUGUGGGAGGAGAUUUCAAGACAGCUUCUUAUAUGGAAUUACAGCGGAAGGAGCAAGAGGGACAAAUAGAAAUACAAAAUGUACAGUUUGAGGAGAAAAGCAACACCAAGGCUGUAAUUGUUGGAGCCAAGUCCUUCUUAAGGGGGUGGGGAGCUUGAAGGAAAGCCUGAUGCUAACUGAAAUAAAGGGAGUGGUAUACUCAGGACAACACACCCACCUAAUCCUGCAGCUUGUAAAAAGGAAAGCCUAUGGAGCAAAGGACAUCAACUAGUCUUUUAAAGCUUAUGCAAAUGAAGCCAUGGAGAGGGCCAGGUUUUAGCCCUAACAGGCAGCAGAACUUGGCAGCUUCAGUCACAUGAUUUUGGAUUUAGAGUCAAGAAGGAUACAAGAAAGGGGUCAUGGGAUCUUUCGGGUUAUGGGACCUUCCUUGAUGGUUAAGGAAUGCCUCUGAGAUCAGGCAUUUGACAAGGAGGCCCUGAGAGACCGUGUGUGAAGCUGUGAAGAUGAAGCCUGGAUUGCCUUGGAGACCCCAAGAUGUUGGGGGUGCUAAAGCCAUGAGAUAUCUUCCAAGGAGAGCUGCAGACAGGUGUGGAACCACCCCAAGAGAAAGAAGUGUAUUGCAGUCAGCAAAGCUGGAGGAGUGCAAGACCCAAAGAGCCAUAUCUUAUAAGCCCUUGGACAUCAGGAAUAGAGAUAGAGAAUUUGGAGUUUCCCUGCUGAGUUUCAACUUUGAUUUAUAUGGUAUUUCCUCAUUGUGCCCCUUUUGGAAUGAUGGUGUACGUUCUGUGCUGGAAGUAUGUAACUGGCUUUUUUAUUUUAUAGGGAGUUACAGUUAAGAGAUAGCCUCCAGUCUCAGAAGAAAUGUUGGGCUUUUAAACAAUUAAUAUUAAGACUGAAAGACUAUAGGACUUUUAAAGGUGGACUGAAUGCAUUUUGCAUUAUGCUUUGACUACAAGCCUGUGGAAGUCAGGGAGUGGGAAUUGAUAGUCUGAAUGAAAAUGACCCCAUAGGCUUUUAUGUUUCAAUGCUGGAUCCCUCUAGGAACCUACCUGUCGGAAAGAGAACUGACCACAAGUUGGCAUCAGAAUUCCAUCUGCAUGCAUGCAUGCACCCACACUCACACACACACACACACACAAAAUAAAAUAAUUUUUUUUUAACUUCAGUGUCAUGAAAAUAAAAGAGUAGAAUAUUUUAACUGAAUCCAGGGAGAGAGCAGAAAUAAAAAUACCAAAUGUAGGCUGAUUGGACAGGGUGUACUGCAUGACACACGGCAGCUCCUAAUGCCACUGGUGUGAAUGAGGAGGUGCUGGGGGGCUGGAAAGACAGAGGAGCAAGGUGAGUUUUUGUCUGUUUUGUUUUUAAUUGUUUGAGGAGGACGCUGCAGGGGUAGGGGGCAGAUGUGGCAGGACUAGGGGUGGGCGGGUGCAUGGUGUGGCAUUCCCAGAGAAUUAUGUUAUAAAAAGAAAAAAUAUUGUGGGUGAGAGGGAGAGGCUGGGGGCAGGAGGAGGGAAGAGGGGGAUCUUUGAUUGCUGUGUAAAAUGAAUGAAAAAAAAUUUCUUAAUUAAAAAAAAAGAGAGAGAGAAAAAGAAAAAAAACCCAAAUGGAUGAACCUGGAGUGUAUUAUGUUUUGAGAUAAUAAAUCUAAUAAUAUUAUAUCUCUGUAGGAGAAAAUCAGGCAUGGCCUGGCAGCCAGCCUGCAGUUCUAAAUAAGAAGCAUGGCACACCAUGCUCCUGAAGUCAGAACACUGAAUUCUGAAGUAGCAUGAGCAGCCAGUAGCUGGCCUGCAGAGGAGUCUGCACUCUCCACGUCUCCUUUUACGGACGUCUUUAGAGACCCUGGUGCUGUGAACACUCACUGUCCAAUCGGAGGUCUCAUCAACAGGAGGAGGGAAAAACCAAAAACAACAAGAAGUCCUACCUGAGAAAACCUGGCUCCCACUCCAAACACUUGCCCACAUUAAAGGAAAAUAACACAAUCAAGAUGUGACUUCUCAGCUGAUCCUGCCACCAUGUUCUGGCUCCACCACCACAGACUCUAACUCUCUGAAAUGCCUUUUCAAGGAACAGAAGAAAGCAAGACUGCCUGCUGGGGAAAAGGACAUGAAGAUUAACAACUGGCUUUGCCACACCUGCUGAGGUUCUGCUGCCACCUUGUAUUACUACCUUGGAGAGCAAGGAGACAUUCAGCAUCAACAGAAGUACAAGCAGACUCUCACAUGCCAGUCAGAAUGUCAGAAAAUGAUGACAUCAGAGGGAAGCAAAGAUGCUACUCGGCCAUUUGUGUGAAGAAUCUGUGUUGUCUGGUCAGCUGGAGCUGGAGAAUUGGCUGUGAUUGACAAGAGACCAGAACCACUAAAGUAAAACCUUUGCUUUCCUGGGAUGAUGGAUGCUGGACAGCUAGGGCUGAAGAACCAUUUGUGAGUUAGAAGACGCCAGCAUCACUGAGGUAAGGUCUUCUGGGAAGUGUUUCCUCAGGCUCAGCACACAGAAGCUGUGUUCCAGAAGCCGCCAAGUGCUGGCAGCAGAACUUGGUAGUGUAAGAGUCACCCAGGUGGUACUGGUUUUGAAGACAUGAAGAGGUCAUGGAGAGCAGCUGAGGCUUGACACUGUGUAGCAGGGCUGGAGUCCCUGAAGAGAGCCUAGGAGAGCUAUUGGUAAAAGUGUAGCCCAGUGGCAGCAAGGGACCCCAGCAUUUUGGUGAUGCUAGUACCAUGGGACCACCACCAAAAAGUUGUGUGUGUUGCAGAGGACAGAGCCACAGAAGUGACCCAAGCCCCCUGGAGGAGCCCAGAAAAUGGGACUCAGGGCAGGAACUUCAGUAGAUGCCGUGGCGGAUGGAGGAACACCGCUUCCUGGCUUUUCCUUAUGGCUUGCUCAGGACGGCACUGACCGCAGUGGGCGGGGCCCUCCUACACCAAUCAACAAUCGAGAAAACGCCAGCCACACAGACACGCCCACAAGCCAAUCUGAUGGAUGCGAUUCCUCAAUUGAGGUUCCCUAUUCCCAGCACAUCUACAUGAGGAUGACCUUUGGGUGGUGCUUUUGCAACAAAAUUUCCCGGGACUUUUAAUGUAGCUGGAAUUUGUGCUUACGUGUAAUUUAUUCUCGAUUGCUUAUGAUCUACCUGUGGAUAUUUUAAUGACAGCAGAAGAAAAUUGAAGUUCUGGAUUUUGUAUUGGAACUGUGUAGUGAGUAGCCAUUCCAGCUUUGAUCUGGAAGUUCCAACCCCCAUUGAGACUUCAGCAACUGUCACGCCUACAAGGCGGGGCCAAGGGAGGUGCCUGGAGACUGGAGAGCUGGAUCGGCGCUCUGUUCCGGGACCCUGAACUGGAGAGGUGGACCAAGCAGAGCUCCAAAGAACACCGCUGGACUGCGAUACACCUUCCCCAGACCCCGCGACCUACCUAUCCCUUAAUUUGUAAGUUACGCCAUUAAAUAAAUCUCCCUUUAACUACGUGGAGUGGCCUUAAUAAUUUCACCAAUAGAACUGUUCCAAACUUGCCCUGUCUACUUCCUUGUCAACUGAAGAUUUGUGGUGGUCUGUCUCCAUGAGAUGGCCCCCAUAGGCUCUUAUAUUUGAAUGCUUGUUCCGUAGGUGGGAGAACAGUUUGAGGAAGGGUUAGGAGGUGUGGCCUUGUUAGAGGAGGUAUGUUACUGAUGGGUGGGCUUGGAGGUUUGAAGAGCCUGUAUCAGGUCUAGUCCUUCUCUCUCUGCCUCUGACUUUUGGAUAAGAUGUGAGCUCUCAGCUACUGCUCCAGCCCCAUGCCUCUGUGCUUGUGGCCUUGCUCCCUGCCAUGAUGGCCAUGAACUCAUGAAAUUGUAAGCAAACCCCAAUGAAAUGACUGCUUUAUAAGUUGCCUCGGUCAUGGUGUUUCUUCAAAACACUAGAACAGCAGCCCAGACAGGCUUUAUAACUAUUUUUCUUACUCUCUCUUGCUCACUCUUGCCCAAAUGAAAUCUUUUAAAACUCUUGAGUUAAGACACAUUUUUCCAAGCACUCUCAAUGUUCUUAAGGCUUCUCAGUCAUUUCAUGUAUUAAUGUGCCUAUGACUCAAAAUCUAGAUUGUGUAAAUCUCUCUCCAUUCUAAUGCCUAUCACCACACAAUCUUCCCAGAGUAUUGGAAAGCUGGCCAAAUGUUACUACUUACUGUUCUAUAUUCCACAGUGCAUAAGAUCAUUGUUUCUAAGCAUGCUAUCAUCUGCUCUGAGGAUAUACAUCUCUCUUUCUCAAUCUAUGGAAAAAUAAUAUUAUUAAUACCCCCUUUAUACUGUCCCAUCUUCUUUUAUUAUGUCUGGUAGGAAAGUGACUGCACACUUAAUGACAGAAGGGCUAAUGACUUAAGCAAAACUGGUUGCUCAUCCUUGUAGUUGUCUUUGUUUCUCCUCAGACAAGCCUUCUGUGUGUAAAUAUGUCCAGACAUUGUCACAUUAUAUUGGAGUGUUCAGGAAGGCAUGAUAUAUCUGUCACUAAUGUACAUCUAUGCAAGGAAUUAAAGGAAACACAGCCCAGAUUCUCAGUUACAUGCACAGGAUAUAAGAUAACAACUCCACGCCUAAAUAUUAAAUGGUUUCAGUCUUUUUUUUUUCCAGGCAGACACAUUCUUAUCUUGGAGAUUCUGUCUAGAUAUGUGAUAAUACAGCUUUCUAACUGGGAGCCUUUGAUUUCCAAGUUCAGAAGAACAUGUUUUUACAGUUCUGUUAUUCCCAUCCCAGUUUUUAAGCUUUGUUAAAAGGACUCUAUUUCAGUGUGUUUUUUUUUCUUCUGUAAGUAUUAUAAUAGGAAACUCAUUGUUUGGAUGUGUGUAUUCCAGAUGAAAGUGAUUUCACACUCUUAAUGAAUUACAUAAAUCCCUUGGGUUUUCUUGAGCUAAAUUUCAAGUAUUUUUAUGUUUUUUAAAAUCUCACAACCUUUUUAAAAUGAUCAGAAAUUAAUAAAAUCCUGUCCCCAAAUAAACUGUAUAUCCUUAAUGAGAUGUGACAGCAGUGUCUCUACUAAUAACUCACAGACUGUGGCACAGGAGUCAAAGGUACCUGAGUAUUUCGGUUAAAAUGGGAUGCUAAUGACGCAGCCCUUAGAAGCGUCACUUCAGCAUCAUUAAAUUAGUUCCAUGCUGAGAAAGUGUCUCCUUUAAAUAUAUAUUCCACCCACUGUCCAGCUAGGCACAUGGUUCUGUGAUCUGCUUGCUUCAGUAGAAAGAGAGAAAAUGGCGUCAGUGCUGUGAGGAGAGGUUCCAGAGUGAAGGGAUCACAUUUCUAUAAAUGGAGGGUCAUUGGCUAACAAGCCACAGUUAUCUAUUUAAUUCCAAAUACUCUCGGAAAUGGAAGAUAAUUUUGUGUUCAAUUUUAAGCUGACCUGGAACAUUUUUUUUUUUCUUCUGGUAACUAAGCAGAGUACAAAAUGCCAAAAAACACCUGUCUGCCAUGAUUUCAUUGCCCACAUCCCACAUCUUCCCCAAGUUUAUUAUAAAGAGGCAUUAAUUACAGAUCCAACUAAUCACACAAAGCUGACAUGUAUAGCAUAUAAAAAGCUUUUCAUUGACAGAAAACCGUCUUCUCAGCUGCAAUUAUAUGAACAGUAAGUGAUAGUACCUGAAGGUGGCUAAUAACGGGUCUGAUUCCAGUGGGUCAUCCUGAGGCUGUACCCUGGACUCCAUCCACCUGUUUCAUCCCAGAGGCUGAAUAUAAAUUAAGUAGACUCCCAUAGAUGAUAUGCUUGUUCCAUCUAAACACUUAAAUUUCAUGACUCAAAGGGGCAAAUGAUUAGUAUUUGCUGCAUUUUAUAUUAAAAAUACACCAAGUGGAAGGACAACACAUAGCUCUAGCCUCCAUGUGACUUUAUUUGCCACCACUUUCUCAUGUGUAAUAUGUAACUUCAUGGGUUCUCUGAGAUUUUUAAGUUUAAAAGGAAAAUGUUACAUAGUGGGGAAAUUUUGAGAAACAAUCCAAUUUUAAACCUAGCACACUUGCAAGCAGCUUUUGGGAUCCUGCCAUUCCUUAGGUGUCUGUUACAUUAUAACUGUUUUUAACUACAGCAUUAAGAUGAUCUGUGUGCAUGCCUUCCAUUCCCCCAGUAUUAUCCAUUUAUUCUUUGUUUCUGGAGCACUAUGGUUCGACCAUUAUUAAGAAGGCAACGUUUUAUUACAAUAGCAGUUUUCAGUGUGCACGUAUUAAUCAGAACUCUCAAAGAAGAUUCAUAUGCCUUGUGAGAAAACAUCUAUUUGCAUAAGAAUAUGCUACCAGCAAGCUUAGAUAUCUUAUUGCUCGUAGUUAUUCUUUUUUUACAAAAUAUAGUCAGAUGAGCUGACUAAAACAUGUAAGCAUGGCAUUUAGGAUGCCAAGAGUGAGGUAUCCCCAGAGGUUCAAAGUCAACCUGGGCUUUAGUAUGAAAUCUGUCUCAAAAAUGUUCAAUUAUUUUAAUGCAACACACAUAUAUAUGAGAAGUGAAGAGUCUAUAUGCUGACCAUUUCUUUCCUGUUCGUCUCUACUCAUAAUUCUCUCCUCCUACAUUUGUUGUUGGCUGUUUUGUUGAUCUUUGCCAUUCCGAUGAGGGUAGGAUGAAAUACCAAAGUUGUUUUGAUUUGCAUUUCCCAAACUGCUAGGGACAAUCAGCAUUUUUCUCUCUUUUUAAAAGAUAUUUCUUAGCUAUUUUUUUCUUCUUUUGAGAACUUGCUCUUCAGGGCCCAGGUCCAUUUUUGAAUGGAUCAUUUGUUUUAUUUGCUUUUUAGUUCUUUAUAUAUUCUGGAUUUUAUUCCUCUGUCAGAUCUACAUCUGCAAAGAUGCUCUCCCAUGCUGUGGCCUCUUCACUCGGUUGAUGGUUUCUUUAGCUGUGCAGGUUUCUUUGAUUGUUUGUUUGUUUUAUGAAGUUCCAUUUGUCAAUCAUUGGCCUUAAAUUCUUGGGCAAAUGGAGUCCUAUUCAGAAUGUCCCCUCCCACAACUAUAUCAUGUAGAGUACUGCCUGUGUUAUCUUUCAGCAGUUACAGUGUUUCAGAUUCCAGGUUUUGUGCAAAGUGACAGAUACAUAUUUAAUUUCAUUCUUAUGCAUGUGGACACCUUGUUUUCCCAGCACCGUUUGCUGAAAAUGUUCUCUUUAGCUUAUGUCUUGGCAUCUUUGUCAAAAAUUAAGUGGCUGAAGUUGUGUCGCUCAUGUUUGGGUCUUCAAAUUUGUCCCAUUGGUCUACAUGUCUGUUUUUGUUCCCAUUUCAUAUUGUUUUAAUUAUUAUGGCUCUGUAAAAUAUCUUAAGAUUUAGAAAUGUAAUAUCUCCAUCAUUGUUCUUUUUGUUCAAAACUGUUUAAGUUAUCUGGGGUCUUGUGUAAUUCCAUAUGAAUUUUAGGAUAGAU